UGGGGAAUAUUGCACAAUGGGGGAAACCCUGAUGCAGCGACGCCGCGUGAGCGAAGAAGGUUUUCGAAUCGUAAAGCUCUGUCCUAUGGGAAGAUAAUGACGGUACCGGAAAAGCAAGCCACGGCUAACUACGUGCCAGCAGCCGCGGUAAUACGUAGGUGGCAAGCGUUGUCCGGAAUUAUUGGGCGUAAAGCGCGCGCAGGCGGCUUCCUAAGUCCAUCUUAAAAGUGCGGGGCUUAACCCCGUGAUGGGAUGGAAACUGGGAAGCUGGAGUAUCGGAGAGGAAAGUGGAAUUCCUAGUGUAGCGGUGAAAUGCGUAGAGAUUAGGAAGAACACCGGUGGCGAAGGCGACUUUCUGGACGAAAACUGACGCUGAGGCGCGAAAGCGUGGGGAGCAAACAGG
rnacentral:rRNA from 1 species